rnacentral:lncRNA from 1 species
ACAAUUAUGAGCUAAGCAGGAACAGCAGUGUCUUCUGUGUCUGUCUAUAUUUAAAAGAGCUUCCUGCCGUCACAUCUGUAUCCUCAGAUCUUUAUCUGAAGCAGGGGAAGGCUGGAAUGAUUCUGAAUUGAGCUGUGGUACAGAGCUGCUGAGCUGCUGGUCAGUCAGUUACAGUUGGAAUCAGUGGUGGCACAUCUGUAGAUGA